rnacentral:rRNA from 1 species
UACAGAGGGUGCGAGCGUUAAUCGGAAUUACUGGGCGUAAAGCGUGCGUAGACGGUUAUUUAAGUCGGGUGUGAAAGCCCCGGGCUCAACCUGGGAAUUGCAUUCGAGACUGAAUAGCUAGGGUACGGUAGAGGGAAGUGGAAUUUCCGGUGUAGCGGUGAAAUGCGUAGAUAUCGGAAGGAACAUCAGUGGCGAAAGCGGCGUUCUGGACUGCAACUGACACUGAUAAACGAAAGCCAGGGUAGCAAACGGG